rnacentral:rRNA from 1 species
UACAUGGGGUGCAAACGUUGCUCGGAAUUAUUGGGCGUAAGGCGCGCGUAGGCGGUUACUCAAGUCGGAUGUGAAAGCCCUCGGCUUAACUGAGGAAGUGCACCCGAAACUGAGUAGCUAGAGUACCAAAGAGGGUCGCGGAAUUCCCGGUGUAGAGGUGAAAUUCGUAGAUAUCGGGAGGAACACCGGUGGCGAAGGCGGCGACCUGGGUGGAUACUGACGCUGAGGCGCGAAAGCGUGGGGAGCAAACAGG